ACGACAACUUGUCAAAAUAAAAGCCCAACAAUCGCAAAGCAGCAUUGCCGUUUUUUGUCCCAAACCUCUUACUGAUCACGUCACACCUCAUCUGAGUUAA